rnacentral:rRNA from 1 species
UACGUAGGGCGCAAGCGUUGUCCGGAAUUAUUGGGCGUAAAGAGCUCGUAGGCGGCUUGUCACGUCGAUUGUGAAAGCCCGAGGCUUAACCUCGGGUCUGCAGUCGAUACGGGCUAGCUAGAGUGUGGUAGGGGAGAUCGGAAUUCCUGGUGUAGCGGUGAAAUGCGCAGAUAUCAGGAGGAACACCGGUGGCGAAGGCGGGUCUCUGGGCCGAAACUGACGCUGAGGAGCGAAAGCGUGGGGAGCGAACAGG